GGCUCAGAACGUACGCUGGCGGCACGCCUAACACAUGCAAGUCGAACGAAGUAGCAAUACUUAGUGGCAGACGGGUGAGUAACAUGUAGGUAUCUGCCCUUUGGCCUGGAAUAACACGAGGAAACUUGUGCUAAUACCGGAUAAGUCUUUACGGAGAAAGCUUUAUGCACCAUUGGAUGAGCCUGCACUUGAUUAGUUUGUUGGUGGGGUAAUGGCCUACCAAGACUGUGAUCAAUAGCUGAUUUGAGAGGAUGAUCAGCCACAUUGGGACUGAGACACGGCCCAAACUCCUACGGGAGGCAGCAGUGGGGAAUCUUGCACAAUGGAGGAAACUCUGAUGCAGCGAUGCCGCGUGAGUGAAGAAGGCCCUUGGGUUGUAAAGCUCUUUCGUCGGGGAAGAAAAUGACUGUACCCGAAUAAGAAGGUCCGGCUAACUUCGUGCCAGCAGCCGCGGUAAUACGAAGGGACCUAGCGUAGUUCGGAAUUACUGGGCUUAAAGAGUUCGUAGGUGGUUGAAAAAGUUGGUGGUGAAAUCCCAGAGCUUAACUCUGGAACUGCCAUCAAAACUUUUCAGCUAGAGUAUGAUAGAGGAAAGCAGAAUUUCUAGUGUAGAGGUGAAAUUCGUAGAUAUUAGAAAGAAUACCAAUUGCGAAGGCAGCUUUCUGGAUCAUUACUGACACUGAGGAACGAAAGCAUGGGUAGCGAAGAGGAUUAGAUACCCUCGUAGUCCAUGCCGUAAACGAUGUGUGUUAGACGUUGGAAAUUUAUUUUCAGUGUCGCAGCGAAAGCGAUAAACACACCGCCUGGGGAGUACGACCGCAAGGUUAAAACUCAAAUGAAUUGACGGGGACCCGCACAAGUAGUGGAGCAUGUGGUUUAAUUCGAAGAUACGCGCAGAACCUUACCAACACUUGACAUGUUCGUCGCGACUCUAAGAGAUUAGAGUUUUCGGUUCGGCCGGACGAAACACAGGUGCUGCAUGGCUGUCGUCAGCUCGUGUCGUGAGAUGUUGGGUUAAGUCCCGCAACGAGCGCAACCCUCACUUUUAGUUGCCAUCAUUUAGUUGGGCACUCUGAAAGAACUGCCAGUGAUAAGCUGGAGGAAGGUGGGGAUGACGUCAAGUCCUCAUGGCCCUUACGUGUUGGGCUACACACGUGCUACAAUGGUAUCUACAACAGGAAGCAAAACUGCGAAGUUAAGCAAAUCCUUAAAAGAUACCUCAGUUCGGAUUGCACUCUGCAACUCGAGUGCAUGAAGCUGGAAUUACUAGUAAUCGUGGAUCAGCGUGCCACGGUGAAUGCGUUCCCGGGUCUUGUACACACCGCCCGUCACACCAUGGGAGUUGGUUCUACCUUAAG
rnacentral:rRNA from 1 species